ACACUUCCGGCUAAGUACGGGCGUAAUAAUGGUGAUUAAAACUGUUCACCGUUCCUUUGAGUUCCUCGUAGAUUCUGGAUAUUAGUCCUUUGUUGGAGGUAUAGAUUGUGAAGAUUUUCUCCAAUUCAUCGCCGUUUUUUAGAGUUUUUCUCACUAAAUAUUGACUAACGGAACCUAGCCCUGUAAUGUUGAUAGUCGGGCGGGUCGGAAGUGGCUGAGGUGGAGUAUCUGCAGGAGAAGAACUGAGGCUCCUAAGUGCAGCAUCUUGUCCAAGAGGUUUCGUCCCAAUGCGUGGGGAACAUCCGGAUUGUGAUGUUUAGCUCUCAGUUUCUAACUUGGGCAUUCUAGCAACUGUAUUUCUCAUUUAAUGUUUUAUGGGCACACAUGCAGAGGAGUUUUCGUCACUGAAAAGCCCGACAACUUCCCCUGCCAACCCAUUGGAAUUAAAAAAACCUCGAUAACCUCUUAAACACAUGGAAAUGGAACCCUGAGCAGAGGUAAAAGCCUAGCAGUGAUCACUCUUUUGGCGACUUGGAAAUCGGGGUGAGCUUUUAUCCGUUACCUGUGCCCUGUUGUUAGGGGUCGACUGCUGCUGUUCUUCCUUGGAAACUGGCUCCACUGCAUUUCGGGGCUGGGAUGUUGUUAAAGCAUUCACAGCCCUCAGAGCACAUGACGAGGGAGUUGGGAAAUGAAGCAAGCAGGACCUUCCACUUUGUAGCAGACUUAUUUCUGGAGAAACUGAUGGUUGGGGCCACAAAACGCUUUCAGUGUAGGCUCAUCAUGACUCAUUUGGACAUCCUAUUUUCUCUCCUUAUGUAUGAGAUUGUGGUGGGUAUCUGUACAGCCUAAGGACCUUGGGUGGACCUGGCCAGCAAUGGGACUGUUACUGAUGAU
rnacentral:lncRNA from 1 species